rfam:Erinaceus europaeus unplaced genomic scaffold scaffold00039, whole genome shotgun sequence
AUAUUUUUGUGGUUCAUAAGUGUGACGACUGGUUUUUACAUGGUUGUGUAAGAUGUACCACCUAUAAACCUUGUUAUUACAUCAGCCCAUUAUCCAUCUGAUA